UAGUAGUCUUACCAGUACUUUGUAAAUGUGGAAAAUGCUCUUGGCCAAGUUUUUCAGUCUCAAUGUAUGUCUCAAACAUGCUAAAUUAGAGUUUAAUCUCAGCUCUAACUAUAAAUUUUAUACUCUAUCCAUGCUUUUUUCUAUAUAGAAAAUUCAUUUUAGAAGUUACACUUUACAAAUUAAACUUUAUUUGGAUUAUUGAUUUACAUCCUUUGCUUUAGUAGUAACAUUUUUUAAGCUUUUGAAGGCUUUUUUAGUAGGAAAGUUUGGAAAUUAUUUGAGGAUUUUAUGCCAUUUAGGAAAAAUCUCAAAAGCACAAAUAUUUUAUGGCUAGGGAUGUCUAAGUGCAUGUAAUUUUGCUCAUUCUGCAAGUUUGUUUCUAAGCAGGAUGUUUUAAACUCAGAACAGGAUUUUUUUCAUCAAUACCAAGCUAGCUUAUAAAAACAAGCAUGUCAUAUCACUGUGUUUUUUAAUGUUUUUAUUGAUAGAGGAAGGGAGAGGGAAGAGAAAUAUUGAUUGGCUGCCUUCUGUACACUCCUUAUUGAGGAUUGAGCCCACAACCUGAGCAUGUGCCCUAACCAGAAUCUAACCUGUGACUUUUUGGUGCAUGGGAGAAAGCUCAACCAACUGAGCCACACCAGCCAGGGCAUCACAGUACUUUAUUACAAUGUGUUUAGUGUACCAAUUUAAAGGGGGAAAUGUAAACAAAAUAAAAAUCUAAGGAAAAAUAGCACUUUGCUUUAAUCUUCAGUUUAAAGUUAUUCUUUAACAAUCCCAUUUAUACCAUUUUAUUUUAUUAUUAGAUUUAAAGAUCACUGCUGAAUUCUGUGAAAAUUUCAGUCCCACAGCAUAUUCAUUCCAUGAAAAGGAUUCCAUGAGCACAUAAGCUUUGCACAUAUUAUACACUUUAUUCUCCUACCCCCUGGAAGACUGAUGAUAAUGCACAUCAUCGUAUUAAAGGGCUUGAGACAACCUGCAUAAAAUCUCGAACACCAAGCAAACUAGCAGGUAUUAUCUAUAUGCAGAUUCAAGGUAUUAUCUAUAUGCAGAUUCCAACAGAUGGAUUUGGGCUACCGCAGACACAUCUAUUCAGUUUAAAUUGAGCUGAGUUUUUCCACCUUGUGCAAGGCCUUGCUAUAAUCCGUGGAGGUAGGGAAUAGUGAUGACAUGGUCUCUCUCUCAGGAUUGGAGUAGGCUUGGCUGGAACAGCCGCCUGCUUCCAAAUGCUGGUUAGAGGAAAAACACAAUGAUAUUUUAUAUUUUUAAGUGAUGUGUGGGUCCAUGGAGAUUUAAAUGUUAAUUUCAGCAGAUUUGUCUAUUUUAUUCAAAGAAAAGGUGUCAGAACACUGUACUGUCACCAAAAAUAGCUUAUUGAAGGCAGUGGGUGCCUGAAUUUAGAAAGGUUAAAAAUAAAAAACAAACAUUUUUACGUGCUUUUUCAAGUGGUAAAACAUGCUGUGCUUUACCCAA